rnacentral:rRNA from 1 species
GAUGAACGCUGGCGGCGUGCCUAACACAUGCAAGUCGAGCGAUUCUCUUCGGAGAAGAGCGGCGGACGGGUGAGUAACGCGUGGGUAACCUGCCCUGUACACACGGAUAACAUACCGCAAGGUAUGCUAAUACGGGAUAAUAUGCUUUAGUCGCAUGGCUGAAGUAUCAAAGCUCCGGCGGUACAGGAUGGACCCGCGCCUGAUUAGCUAGUUGGUAAGGUAAUGGCUUACCAAGGCGACGAUCAGUAGCCGACCUGAGAGGGUGAUCGGCCACAUUGGAACUGAGACACGGUCCAAACUCCUACGGGAGGCAGCAGUGGGGAAUAUUGCACAAUGGGCGAAAGCCUGAUGCAGCAACGCCGCGUGAGCGAUGAAGGCCUUCGGGUCGUAAAGCUCUGUCCUCAAGGAAGAUAAUGACGGUACUUGAGGAGGAAGCCCCGGCUAACUACGUGCCAGCCGCCGCCGUAA